CCUACGGGUGGCAGCAGUGGGGAAUAUUGCGCAAUGGGGGAAACCCUGAUGCAGCGACGCCGCGUGAUUGAAGCAGUAUUUCGGUGUGUAAAGCUCUAUCAGCAGGGCAAAAAAAAGACGGUACCUUACUAAGAAGCCCGGGCUAACUACGUACCAGCAGCCGCGGUAAUCCGUAGGGGGCACGCGUUAUCCGGAUUUACUGGGUUUAAAGGGUGCGUAGACGGGUGUGCAAGUCUGAAGUGAAAGCCCAGGGCUCAACCCUGGGACUGCUUUGGAUACUGUGGAGCUAGAGUGCUGGAGAGGUAAGUGGAAUUCCUAGUGUAGCGGUGAAAUGCGUAGAUAUCAGGAGGAACAUCAGUGGCGAAGGCGGCUUACUGGACAGUAACUGACGUUGAGGAUCGAAAGCGUGGGGAGCAAACAGGAUUAGAUACCCCUGUAGUC
rnacentral:rRNA from 1 species